rnacentral:rRNA from 1 species
GAUGAACGCUGGCGGCGUGCCUAAUACAUGCAAGUCGAGCGAACAGAUGAGGAGCUUGCUCCUCUGACGUUAGCGGCGGACGGGUGAGUAACACGUGGAUAACCUACCUAUAAGACUGGGAUAACUUCGGGAAACCGGAGCUAAUACCGGAUAAUAUAUUGAACCGCAUGGUUCAAUAGUGAAAGACGGUUUUGCUGUCACUUAUAGAUGGAUCCGCGCCGCAUUAGCUAGUUGGUAAGGUAACGGCUUACCAAGGCAACGAUGCGUAGCCGAACUGAGAGGGUGAUCGGCCACACUGGAGCUGAGACGCGGUCCAGACUCCUACGGGAGGCAGCAGUAGGGAAUCUUCCGCAAUGGGCGAAAGCCUGACGGAGCAACGCCGCGUGAGUGAUGAAGGUCUUCGGAUCGUAAAACUCUGUUAUUAGGGAAGAACAAAUGUGUAAGUAACUAUGCACGUCUUGACGGUACCUAAUCAGAAAGCCACGGCUAACUACGUG